UACGGAGGGCGCUAGCGUUGUUCGGAAUUACUGGGCGUAAAGCGCACGUAGGCGGCUUUUUAAGUCAGGGGUGAAAUCCCGGGGCUCAACCCCGGAACUGCCCUUGAAACUGGGAAGCUAGAAUCUUGGAGAGGCGAGUGGAAUUCCGAGUGUAGAGGUGAAAUUCGUAGAUAUUCGGAAGAACACCAGUGGCGAAGGCGACUCGCUGGACAAGUAUUGACGCUGAGGUGCGAAAGAGUGGGGAGCAAACAGG
rnacentral:rRNA from 1 species